AGUGAACGCUGGCGGUAGGCCUAACACAUGCAAGUCGAACGGCAGCACAGUAAGAUCUUGCUCUUACGGGUUGCGAGUGGCGGACGGGUGAGGAACACAUCGUAAUCUACUUUUUCGUGGGGGAUAACGUAGGGAAACUUACUCUAAUACCGCAUACGACCUACGGGUGAAAUCAGGGGAUCUUCGGACCUUGCGCGAUUGAAUGAGCCGAUGUCGUAUUAGCUAGUUGGCGGGGUAAAGGCCCACCAAGGCGACGAUCCGUAGCUGGUCUGAGAGGAUGAUCAGCCACACUGGAACUGAGACACGGUCCAGACUCCUACGGGAGGCAGCAGUGGGGAAUAUUGGACAAUGGGCGAAAGCCUGAUCCAGCAAUACCGCGUGGGUGAAGAAGGCCUUCGGGUUGUAAAGCCCUUUUGUUGGGAAAGAAAAGCAGCAGGUUAAUACCCCGCUGUUCUGACGGUACCCAAAGAAUAAGCACCGGCUAACUUCGUG
rnacentral:rRNA from 1 species